UACGUAGGGGGCAAGCGUUGUCCGGAAUCAUUGGGCGUAAAGAGCGUGUAGGCGGCCCGGUAAGUCCGCUGUGAAAGUCCAGGGCUCAACCCUGGGAUGCCGGUGGAUACUGUCGGGCUCGAGUCCGGAAGAGGAGUGUGGAAUUCCUGGUGUAGCGGUGAAAUGCGCAGAUAUCAGGAGGAACACCGGUGGCGAAGGCGGCGAUCUGGGUAGAGUACUGACGCUGAGGUGCGAAAGCGUGGGGAGC
rnacentral:rRNA from 1 species